AGACCAUGGGUUGUGUCUGUGUUUUUCCAGAAGUGAGAUUGCACAUGAAAGUCAAUACUAAAGAAAGAAGCUGCGUUUUCUAUCUUUGCUGUUCUUUUCUCUUGUGUGUGUUUGUCUUGUUUUGUAUUUAGGAAACCGGUUCAGA